CAAUAGCGUAUAUUUAAGUUGUUGCAGUUAGAAAGCUCGUAGUUGGAUUUCGGUUAAGAGCGACCGGUCCGCCGUUUGGUGUGCACUGGUUGGUUUUAACUUCCUGUAGAGGACGUGCUCUGGGUUUAACGACCUGGACUCGGAGUCUACGUGGUUACUUUGAAAAAAUUAGAGUGUUCAAAGCGGGCUUACGCUUGAAUAUUUCAGCAUGGAAUAACACUAUAGGACUCCUGUCCUAUUUCGUUGGUCUCGGGACGGGAGUAAUGAUUAAGAGGAACAGUUGGGGGCAUUCGUAUUUCAUUGUCAGAGGUGAAAUUCUUGGAUUUAUGAAAGACGAACUUCUGCGAAAGCAUUUGCCAAGGAUGUUUNCAUUAA
rnacentral:rRNA from 1 species